rnacentral:lncRNA from 1 species
AGUGGGAAUGCAUGGCAAAGAAGUACCCCAAAACAAGAUCCAUGACAUGCCAGACUAAAUAUUCUAUGAAGUGACUACAUUGGCUGUACAUUAGGAAAGAUGAUGCUUUCUCUGUAGCAUGACCAAUUGCCCCUGUAUUUGAUGAUCUUUCUGUCUUGUGGAGCACCUGGUACUGUCACUACAAGACAUCACGCAGGAUUAAAGGAGAAGAACUCAUUGGAGGUAGCCUGUGCCUUUGGAUGUUUGACUUGCUUCCUGUCCUUCCCAGCAGUCAACAGGCUUGGUCCCACCAUGUUCAGAGCUCAAGGACUGUGGGAGAGGGUGACACAGACAACGGACUGACCGAUCCAGGAGCUGGGCAUGGUGCUUACCAUGUUAUCAUGCUCUUAAUACGAGUUCACAGCAGUCUUGUUUCUGGUUAAUGUAAUUGAAUAGAUAUUGUAUUUAAAAUAAUUAAUUAGAUAAAGGAUAUCUUGUUAUUCAGAUCUGGUCUCCUUAUUUUCUAUUUUCUUCACAUUCCCUAAAGUGAAUACAUCAAUACAAGCAACUCCCUCCGCUUAUUGAAUAUUGAUAGGUCUGAAUGUUUUGCAUGUACCCGUUGAAAACAAAUAUAUCAAUAUAUUUACUUGUGACUAAGGUAACCUUGAUAAUAGUUAAAUCAUCUUUGGUUAUUCCCCACCCUGUGCCAUAACCCAAUAAUUUCAGUUAUCAGACUUUUUAGAUGAACAGAAUGUAUACUCUGGAGUCCACUGACUUCAAAUAGUACCUUGUAAAUUGAGGCUGAGACAUAAUGAUCUCUUCAGAAAGAAUAUAAAUAGUAGGUUAGUCACUCCUCAGUGAAUACCGUGAAUAAUUUAACUUGUGCCUUUAC